ensembl:lncRNA
UUUUUUUUUCUUUUUUACAGAAGAGUGUCUGUUUUCUUCUCAGAUUGUGUACACCAAGUUGACAAGGCUUAUUUAGAAUGCAUAGCGGGGUGGAUGUGAUGUUGAAAUAACAGAUGUUCCAGUAGUUGAACUAGGCAUCCAAAGGGAUAAAAUCAAAACCUACUUGUCAAAUGGAACUCACUUCAAAUAUGGUAGCUGGAUAAAAUGUAACCCUGCUGCCGGUCUUUCUCUGGCCCUGGCUUUACAAUCCUAUUAAAGCCUGAGAAAAAAAAAAAAAAUCACUUGAUGCCCAAUGUCUACAAAUGAUUAAGACAUCCAUCCUGCUGCAACUGUUCAUCUAACUUAACACUUCUGCUGUCAUGCUGAUCAGCUCUGUGCCAGUGCUUUCCUUUCUGUCCCAUCUGCCCCUAGAGCACCUGCUCAGAGAAUGCACUUGGCAGCACUUUGACAUUUCUAGAAAUUGGUCAAAACUAUUGGGGAUGACCUUGCCAGCAGAUACAAGGCUAAUAAGAGCAAGGCUGUGCAUCUAAAUGGCUGCAAUAAUAUUUGUAACAUUUUUCCAAGGGUGCAGGUCCAGGAUUGGCACUUACUGAAUGCUCAUUUGUUGUGAUAAUUUUAGAACUAUCGCUUCCCCAUUUGUAAGUGAAGCAUCUUUUUCAUAUAAUGAAAUGCAUUGUUUGGGUUUGGCUUUGAUACUUCAGGAAAAAUAAAGAAAUUCACAUAUUUAAUAUAACAGCUGAAGUGUUUUUCAAGGGAACUCAGAUAUUUCUACAUUUCAGCAGUGUUAAUUCAAUUAGCCUGAAACUAACUCAAAUAAAGCAUUGUUGUCCACAAUGGUGGAAAUUCUAGGAUUUUCUUUUUAAAGCAUUUUUAUCUCCAUAAAGACUUAAUGUGAAAAGCUAACUUAAAUAUUCCUCCAGCAGUUUACAGACCCUCAUCCAAUCCCCACUGAAGUUAAAAGAGCCAUUUCAAUUACUCCUCCAGUAGGAACAAUUUAUUAUGACAGUGUCUCAGUCCUCAUUGACCCCUGUUUAAUUUAUCUUUAGCAACUACCCCCCUAGUCCCACUCUGUGAAACUACUACUGAACCAAUUUCUCUCUCUUCACCUAUUUUUUACCUAUUUCAUGAUUUAUUCUCUUAAAACGGCUUCAUGUUGGCUUUUUCUGUAUCCCAACAAUUGAUUCCAGCUCAGUUUGCCAAGACAUAAUCCUAAAGUUGAUUGGAUUUUCAGUCCUCCCAGAUCUCCUUCACCCACAAUUUGAAGUCUGCUAUAGUCUGCAAGGAAAAUAUUAAGAUUUUAAGUUGCUGGGAAAUGAAGUAGAAAUAUGCAUGCAGCUAGGGAACAGUACUGGAACACUGGGAGCUUUUUUCUCUUGCAUUUUUGCUUUAUGGAUGGCAGAAAUAAUGUAAAAGCCAAAGGUGUAAUUUGCACCUUGAAAAGCAGCUGCCAAGCAUUUUUGUUGACAGUAUCACUAGGUGCAGGAUGUGAGGAAAGAAGAGGUACAGUAUUUCUUGACUGACAAAUGGUAUUGUUCAAUUUAAAAUUAACUAAGGACUACCAAAGAAAAUGCUUUAGCAUGAUGACUUAGUAAUCAUCUAAACCCUCUGGUGAAUUAGGUGUAACGAAUGAGACUCAGCUCUAACUCAGCUACAAACUGGAGGGAGUUAUAGUGGAUAGAAGCCUAUUAUGACCAAUAUUAACUAAGAAUUUUAUAUCCUCAAAGUCCUCAGUAAACAACUGAUAGUGUUGGAGUUGCCCAUAAAUCUGUUUCAAUAAUUUAAUGGAUAUCACUCUCAGUGUAAUCUGCUGUACACAAGCACUGUGCUUACUUUGAGAACACUGCAGGUUCACACUCAGUGCUCCUGCUGAAGACUUUUACAGAGGCCACAGUGAUAGGUAUAACAGCACUGCCAGUCUCUGUGUGGUGGUUUAAGAACAGCUGUCAGGAGUCAAACAAAAGAUCUGGUGGCCAAACUCUGUCAACACCCAGAAACAGAGGCCAAGAGAAGAGUCCAAUGGCAGGUCAAGUACAUAGUGAUGAUUCCCCAGCCUCCUUUCCAGCAUACAGCAGUCUGCAGCUCAGCAACCUCCUUUCCAGAAGAGGGAUCUAUGUGUUAAAUAGUCCUUGUGGGAUUUCUUUCCUUUUCCCACAAGUUUGUCUACUCAAGUUAGAGGCUACGUAAACCUUUUGGCAUCCAGCGCUGACACAGAACUGUGUGUUCCACAGCUUUCCUAGCAAGGGAUAAAAAAAUUUCAUCUUCUCCUUGAUUGAAAUUAUCAAUCAGUCAUUUAACUUGGUGGUUUCUACUUAUAAUGUGGAAAGGCAGUGAGCAGCCAUUUCCUGCUUACUUUAAUCAUUGCUUCACAGACACACAUCCUGUCUACGCUCAUUGAUCUCUUUUUCCAAGCUGAUGAGUCCUAGACCAUUUGUUCUUGAUGUUAAAGCUUUUCCACAUAUUUGAUAAUGAUUGCUGUGCUCCUAUGAUUCUUUAUUUUUAAUAACACAUCCUCUUGAGAUGGGACAUCCAAAACUACAUGACCUCCUCUGUACAUGUAUUGUGCACUAAACUGUACAAAAAUUACAAUUUUUCUUGUUCUUCAUUUCCUUACAUUUUGUUUGGUUUUGACAGCACUCAGGCUAUGAAACUCUUGCCUUUAGUUGGAGCCUUGCUAUUUUUACAGUGACACUAAACGAUGAUGCAUUUUUAAUAAUUUUAUUUAUUUUGACUAACUGGCAUUAAAAUAACAAGAAAAUAAUUUCAUUUCCAAUUGACUCUUGACUUUGCUCUCUGACCUUCUUCUUGUCCCCAAGUCUCUGACAUAAAUUGCCCUGUAUUUAUUCUCAUUUUGACUUCAAGUAGCCAAGAGAUUGCCAUUCCAAAUAAAGAAUGUGUUCUUUUCACUGUGUGGCUCAAACAUUUUUGUUUUCUCAUUUCAAAAGUUCACAAUAGCAGUAAUUGGUCAAGGAUCUUUUCAAAAUACAACAUUUUAAAUUGACACUUGAAAUAAUACAUUGGAGGGAUAAAGAUAUGAAAAUAACAAGCACCUAAUUAGUCUCAAUAUUUUGUGCUUCACAAGGUAAAUUGUGUUGUACAUCCCCAAGAUUUUAGCUAGGAAGAACUUUUUUGUUCAGCAGGGUUUGGCUGAUAGAGACUCUGCUCAUAGACUGUAUGAAUCUAUUCAGUGUUUGAAUAAAUUAUUAAAACCAUUUCAAGGCAGGAUUAAAUUAUAGCAAAAUAAACAUAUCAAUUUGUAUUCUUGCACAUUUGUAUUCUUGUCCAAAUGUAUUAUUGUACAUUUACACUCUGAGGAGCCUUUUGCUUCAAAACCAUACUUAUCUCUCAGAUCAAGAACAAACACAAAUUCUGUGGAUCAAAGAGGCUCGGUACAAUGCCCUCUGAUGUGUCAUUAACCAAAUGAAAACAUCUAACAACAGAUGUGGAUUUUGAAUGAUGUUCAGGUGAGCCCCACUAGAGUUCAAACCUGAAUAUUAUCUGUAUGUUAAAGACAACAUAGCCUAAUUGCCUCACUGUGUUUCUCACCUCUGAGCAGGAGAAGGGACUCCUCAGUCCUCAGAACAAAGUGCUGAUGCACGGCAGCAAGGCUUUAAAGCUGGUGAUGAAUUUUACAAUAGUACCAUCUGUUCCUCUGGUGAGAAAGGUUCUGUCCAACUCACAGAGAAUGGCAAGCUUUGGUUUAAAAAUAACUGAUGACAGGUGAGGAGAUGCUUAACCAUCCACUCUUCUUGGUUCCCUCUGGAAGGGGAAUUUGAGUAUUCAGACUAUGACAUUUCUAAGUUCAGUUUCAUUAGUGACAUGAUGUGUUUCUAUUUUCAAAAAGUGGUAUGAAGGAUGCAGUGCAGCACAGGCCCAUCUUAUGUAGAACAUCUCACCUUCUUCAUCCAUAAAUGACUUAGCCAGUGCUCUGAAUUUGAAAGACGCUCAUAUGAAUUAAAAAUUUAUACUUGCUUCUGCCAACAAAUAUUCAACACUUCUUUUCAGUAUUGAAGCAUUAUAAAUACCUUUGGUAAAGAUACAAAUAAAAGUAGAAAAAUCCUUUAAAAUAGAUUAUUAAAUUUAAAUAUUUGAAUGUAAACCCAGAGCCACACUACUUCAACUUCCAUUUCCUUGUCUGAUAUCAGGCAUCUCUGAGCAGCUCUGGUAUUGAUGCAGCUAUCUUCACUGGUCAACCAAAUGGCCAUUGUUUUUUGAUGAAACAGGAAGAAUAAAUCAAUAUCUUUCCAGCUGGGGGAAAGAACUUUCCUUCUGGGAAGGUUCCAUCUUUCCCAGAAGUGGAUCUUUUCUUGCACAGACUUGGCAUUGGUUUUCCAUUCCUCUAUAAGAAUUACAAGAGUGAAGUAGAGUGGAAAACAUCAGAUCACCAAGGUCAUGUGAUGAAUGAGGCUAUUAGAGCAAUUAGAUGAGUUUUAUCUGUUUUGCUUGGUAAAAUAAAAUUUUAAGUAGGCUCAUCUAUCUCACCACACCUGAUUACUCUGGAGGUCAAACUUGCAGAAAACAUUUAGAAUGGUAACAGCAGAAAAAUUACACAUAUGGGCAUCAGAUUACUUAUAAACACAUUUUGCCUAGCCUGUGGAAGGGAAGACUGCAAAACCCUGCAGUUAGGGUAGGAUUUGCUUGACCUAAGAAAAUCUAUCAUAUGUUUGGGAGUUUAGUUUAAGCCAACUCUUCAGGCGUAUCCUGUAACCAAGGAAAAGAGCCAGACCCUUCCAAUAAGAAUAAUUUCCUCAUAAAACAAGGGUCUAAAAUAGGUGAGAAGAAUCCGUCUCUGCAGAUUUCUCUCUCUCUUCAUUGCCCAUAGCACAAGCACAGAUGUUGAGCUCACACACAACACCUAACAUUUGUUGGAUGAAAUUAUCCCACUCCCAGUGACUGAGCAAUGGCACUUAGCAUUUCAUGCUGGUGGUGUCAAGUGAUUCACACUGGAGGACACAACUGGAAUUACAUCAAAUGAGUUCUGC